rnacentral:rRNA from 1 species
AUUGAACGCUGGCGGCAGGCUUAACACAUGCAAGUCGAGCGGGGUUAUGGUGCUUGCACCAUAACCUAGCGGCGGACGGGUGAGUAAUACUUAGGAAUCUACCUAUUAAUGGGGGACAACAUCUCGAAAGGGAUGCUAAUACCGCAUACGCCCUACGGGGGAAAGCAGGGGCUCUUCGGACCUUGCGUUAAUAGAUGAGCCUAAGUCGGAUUAGCUAGUUGGUGGGGUAAAGGCCUACCAAGGCGACGAUCUGUAGCGGGUCUGAGAGGAUGGUCAGCCACACUGGGGCUGGGACACGGCCCAGACUCCUACGGGGGGCAGCAGUGGGGAAUUUUCCACAAUGGGCGAAAGCCUGAUGGGGCAACGCCGCGUGUGUGAUGAAGGUCUUCGGAUCGUAAAGCACUUUCGACCGGGAAGAAAAACCUUUGGCUAACAUCCAGGGGCCUGACGGUACCGGGAGAAAAAGCACCGGCUAACUCUGUGCCAGCCGCCGCCGUAACAC